ACAACAUUUGGACCGUCGGUCUACCGAGCAAUAUCACCCGCUCGGUGGAAG
rnacentral:pre_miRNA from 1 species